AUUCCUACGGGAGGCAGCAGUAGGGAAUCUUCCGCAAUGGACGAAAGUCUGACGGAGCAACGCCGCGUGAGUGAAGAAGGUUUUCGGAUCGUAAAACUCUGUUGUGAGGGAAGAACAAGUAUCAACUAACUAUUGGUACCUUGACGGUACCUCACCAGAAAGCCACGGCUAACUACGUGCCAGCAGCCGCGGUAAUACGUAGGUGGCAAGCGUUGUCCGGAAUUAUUGGGCGUAAAGCGCGCGCAGGCGGUCCUUUAGGUCUGAUGUGAAAGCCCACGGCUCAACCGUGGAGGGUCAUUGGAAACUGGGGACUUGAGUGCAGAAGAGGAAAGUGGAAUUCCACGUGUAGCGGUGAAAUGCGUAGAGAUGUGGAGGAACACCAGUGGCGAAGGCGCUCUGCUGGGCCAUCACUGACGCUCAUGGACGAAAGCCAGGGGAGCGAAAGGGAUUAGAUACCCCUGUAGUCCUGGCCGUAAACGAUGAACACUAGGUGUCGGGGGAAUCGACCCCCUCGGUGUCGUAGCCAACGCGUUAAGUGUUCCGCCUGGGGAGUACGCACGCAAGUGUGAAACUCAAAGGAAUUGACGGAAU
rnacentral:rRNA from 1 species